UGGGGAAUUUUGGACAAUGGGCGAAAGCCUGAUCCAGCAAUGCCGCGUGUGUGAAGAAGGCCUUCGGGUUGUAAAGCACUUUUGUCCGGAAAGAAAUCCUUGGCUCUAAUACAGUCGGGGGAUGACGGUACCGGAAGAAUAAGCACCGGCUAACUACGUGCCAGCAGCCGCGGUAAUACGUAGGGUGCAAGCGUUAAUCGGAAUUACUGGGCGUAAAGCGUGCGCAGGCGGUUUGCUAAGACCGAUGUGAAAUCCCCGGGCUCAACCUGGGAACUGCAUUGGUGACUGGCAGGCUAGAGUAUGGCAGAGGGGGGUAGAAUUCCACGUGUAGCAGUGAAAUGCGUAGAGAUGUGGAGGAAUACCGAUGGCGAAGGCAGCCCCCUGGGCCAAUACUGACGCUCAUGCACGAAAGCGUGGGGAGCAAACAGGAUUAGAUACCCUGGUAGUCCACGCCCUAAACGAUGUCAACUAGUUGUUGGGGAUUCAUUUCCUAGUAACGUAGCUAACGCGUGAAGUUGACCGCCUGGGGGAGUACGGUCGCAAGAUUAAAACUUAAAUGAAUUGACGGGGUCAUA
rnacentral:rRNA from 1 species